rnacentral:tRNA from 7 species
ACAUAUGUGGUGUAGUGGUAGCUACUCUUGGCCUUUGCUUAAGAGGUCACGGGUUCAAAUCCCUUUGAGGACAUGUGUU